CCAAUAGCGUAUAUUAAAGUUGUUGCAGUUAAAAAGCUCGUAGUUGAAUUUCGGGAUCAGUACGCUGGUCGUGCCUCGGUAUGUACUGGUGUUACUGGUUCCUACCUUCUGACGAACCGUCAUGUCAUUAAUUUGGUGUGGCGGGAAAUCAGGACUGUUACUUUGAAAAAAUUAGAGUGUUUAAAGUAGGCUCGCGCUUGAAUACAUUAGUAUGGAAUAAUGAAAUAGGACGUUCGAUCCUAUUUUGUUGGUUUUUAGGAUUGACGUAAUGAUUAAUAGGGAUAGUUGGGGGCAUUAGUAUUCAAUUGUCAGAGGUGAAAUUCUUGGAUUUAUUGAAGACUAACUACUGCGAAAGCAUUUGCCAAGGAUGUUUUCAUUAAUCAAGAACGAAAGUUAGGGGAUCGAAGACGAUCAGAUACCGUCGUAGUCUUAACCAUAAACUAUGCCAACUAGGGAUCGGAUGAUGUUAUUUUUAAUGACUCAUUCGGCGCCUUACG
rnacentral:rRNA from 1 species